AGCGCCUACGGGACGCAGCAGUAGGGAAUCUUCCACAAUGGACGAAAGUCUGAUGGAGCAACGCCGCGUGAGUGAAGAAGGGUUUCGGCUCGUAAAGCUCUGUUGGUAGUGAAGAAAGAUAGAGGUAGUAACUUGCCUUUAUUUGACGGUAAUUACUUAGAAAGUCACGGCUAACUACGUUCCAGCAGCCGCGGUAAUACGUAGGUGGCAAGCGUUUUCCGGAUUUAUUUGGCGUAAAGCGAGU
rnacentral:rRNA from 1 species